GGAAAAGGAAAGGAGCAUUGGACUGGGGGAGGAAAGCAUCCCUCCAGUAAGACUGCCAAAAAACACGUGGGGCAAGGACCAAAGUCACCCCUGAAAGGGAUAGAUGGCUCAGCAAUAGACACAGUCAGUGUGAGUUUCACCAGGAGCAGAUCAUUAAAAAAAUGUUAAAGAGCAUAGGACCAAGAACUAAUCUCUGUGGGAUCCCUCUAGAAACACAUCCAGU